rnacentral:pre_miRNA from 1 species
UAGACAGAUUACUGUAUUCGACUGUAUUCACGGCGGAAAACAUGGGAUUAUACUGUUUUUAAACGGAAGUGUAUCAAUUAACGUAAUAGACUCCU